rnacentral:rRNA from 1 species
GCCAGCAUGUAUAUCACCCUGCAACUCACACCAGUCAGCCCACUGAAGCUCAGCAGCUGUGAGCCUGGCCAGUACCUGGAUGGGAGACCCCAUGGGAAAGCUUAAGUUGCUGCUGGAA